UUAAAGUCGAACAGGACUUAAAAUUUGAAUGGCUGCACCCAAAAUUAUAUCUUAAUCCAACAUCGAGGUCGCAAUCUUUUUUAUCGAUAUGAACUCUCCAAAAAAAUUACGCUGUUAUCCCUAAAGUAACUUAAUCUUAUAAUCGCUAAUAACGGAUCAAUAAGUCAUUAAUUAAUGUUUUUAAAAAUUAAAAGUUCUUUAAAUUUUAAUAUCACCCCAAUAAAAUAAUUAAAUUUAUUAAUACAAAAAACAUCCUUAAAAUAAAAAUAAAUUAAUUAUAAAGAUUUAUAGGGUCUUCUCGUCUUUUAAAUAAAUUUUAGCUUUUUGACUAAAAAAUAAAAUUCUAUUAUAAAUUAAAUUGAAACAGUUUAUAUCUCGUCCAACCAUUCAUACCAGCCUUCAAUUAAAAGACUAAUGAUUAUGCUACCUUUGCACAGUCAAAAUACUGCGGCCAUUUAAAUUAUCAGUGGGCA
rnacentral:rRNA from 1 species